GGAAUUGACGGGGACCCGCACAAGCAGCGGAGCGUGUGGUUUAAUUCGUUGCUACACGAAGAACCUUACCUGGGUUUGACAUAUAGGUUGUAGGGAACUGAAAAGGGACCGACCCUUCGGGGAGCCUAUACAGGUGUUGCAUGGCUGUCGUCAGCUCGUGUCGUGAGAUGUUCGGUUAAGUCCGCUAACGAGCGCAACCCUCGUCGUAUGUUAUAUGUGUCAUACGAGACUGCCGGUAAAAGCCGGAGGAAGGUGAGGAUGAUGUCAAGUCAGCAUGACCUUUAUAUCCAGGGCUACACACACGCUACAAUGGUCUGUACAAUGGGUAGCCAAGCCGCGAGGCGGAGCCAAUCCUGAAAGCAGGCCUCAGUUCAGAUUGCAGUCUGCAACUCGACUGCAUGAAGCCGGAGUUGCUAGUAACCGCAGGUCAGCAAUACUGCGGUGAAUACGUUCCCGGGUCUU
rnacentral:rRNA from 1 species